GACGAACGCUGGCGGCGUGCUUAACACAUGCAAGUCGAACGGAAAGGCCCUGCUUUUGUGGGGUGUUCGAGUGGCGAACGGGUGAGUAACACGUGAGUAACCUGCCCUUGACUUUGGGAUAACUUCAGGAAACUGGGGCUAAUACCGGAUAGGAGCUCCUGCUGCAUGGUGGGGGUUGGAAAGUUCCGGCGGUUGGGGAUGUACUCGGGGCUAAUUAGCUUGUUGGGGGGGGAGUCGCAUACCAAGGGUUAGGAGGAUAGCCGACCUGGGAGGGGGGACGGGCACCAUACGACUGAGGGACGGCCCAGUCUGCAACAGGAGGCAGCGGGGGAGAAUAUUGCACAGUGAGGGCGAGCGUGAGAAGAAGGUGCUGCGAGCGGGAUGAACGCCUUCGGGUUAUAAACCGCUUUCGCCUGUGACGAAGCGUGAGUGACGGUACUAAGUAAAGAAGCACCGGCUAACUACGUG
rnacentral:rRNA from 1 species